UACGGAGGGUGCGAGCGUUGUCCGGAAUCACUGGGCGUAAAGGGCGCGUAGGUGGCGCGGCAAGUCAGCGGUGAAAGCCCGAGGCUCAACUUCGGGUCGGCCGUUGAUACUGCUGUGCUUGAGCACUGUAGAGGCAGGUGGAAUUCCGGGUGUAGCGGUGGAAUGCGUAGAGAUCCGGAAGAACACCGGUGGCGAAGGCGGCCUGCUGGGCAGUUGCUGACACUGAGGCGCGACAGCGUGGGGAGCAAACAGG
rnacentral:rRNA from 1 species